GCCACCGUAGCUCAGGGGUAGAGCAGCUGAUUUGUAAUCAGCCGGUCGGGGGUUCAAAUCCCUUCGGUGGCU
rnacentral:tRNA from 1 species